CCUACGGGAGGCAGCAGUGAGGAAUAUUGGUCAAUGGACGAGAGUCUGAACCAGCCAAGUAGCGUGAAGGAUGACUGCCCUAUGGGUUGUAAACUUCUUUUAUAUGGGAAUAAAAUGUUCCACGUGUGGGAUUUUGUAUGUACCAUAUGAAUAAGGAUCGGCUAACUCCGUGCCAGCAGCCGCGGUAAUACGGAGGAUCCGAGUGUUAUCCGGAUUUAUUGGGUUUAAAGGGAGCGUAGGUGGAUUGUUAAGUCAGUUGUGAAAGUUUGCGGCUCAACCGGAAAAUUGCAGUUGAAACUGGCAGUCUUGAGUACAGUAGAGGUGGGCGGAAUUCGUGGUGUAGCGGUGAAAUGCUUAGAUAUCACGAAGAACUCCGAUUGCGAAGGCAGUUCACUGGACUGCAACUGACACUGAGGCUCGAAAGUGUGGGUAUCAAACAGGAUUAGAUACCCGAGUAGUC
rnacentral:rRNA from 1 species